rnacentral:rRNA from 1 species
GGUUAAGCGACUAAGCGUACACGGUGGAUGCCCUGGCAGUCAGAGGCGAUGAAGGACGUGCUAAUCUGCGAUAAGCGUCGGUAAGGUGAUAUGAACCGUUAUAACCGGCGAUUUCCGAAUGGGGAAACCCAGUGUGAUUCGUCACACUAUCAUUAACUGAAUCCAUAGGUUAAUGAGGCGAACCGGGGGAACUGAAACAUCUAAGUACCCCGAGGAAAAGAAAUCAACCGAGAUUCCCCCAGUAGCGGCGAGCGAACGGGGAGCAGCCCAGAGCCUGAAUCAGUGUGUGUGUUAGUGGAAGCGUCUGGAAAGGCGCGCGAUACAGGGUGACAGCCCCGUACACAAAAAUGCACAUGCUGUGAGCUCGAUGAGUAGGGCGGGACACGUGGUAUCCUGUCUGAAUAUGGGGGGA